AACAUGUUCUGGAGGCAAGAGAAGUUGAGUACUUGUGGAGAAUCUCCUCGAGGGAGGACUCUCGCUAAUUCCAAGUCAGGAAGAGAAGAACAACCCCAGCAUUCUGGGCAUGAACAGAGAGCCAAGGUGGAUCAUCUCCAGACAUCGAAGGGCAUCAUUAUCACGGAUAAGAACACAGAUGCUGGGGCUGGAGAGAUGGCGCAGAGGUUAAGAGCUGGCACUAAUCUUUCAGAGGACUGGAGUUUGGUUCCCAUCCCCAUGUUGGGCAGAUCAUGACGACCUGUGACUACAGCUUCAGAGGGCCUAGAACCUUCUUCUGGAGACCCUGCAUGCUCUGCCUUCAUGUGCUCCUUCCCCUAAGACACAGACGCCUUCCUAACCGUCUCUGGUGACAACAGGACAGGAACAUCACAGCUGUUUAUGUGCUAUGAUUUCCUAUGUGUGCACACAGGAAUAAGACUCUCUUGCCUUGCCCACAAACCACUCUUCACUCUUGGGAUGACCUUGCUCCAGCUGGGAUCAGAAGUUCUAGAGCAUUCUGGGUAUGAAAUCAAGGCCUGUGGGGAAAAUUUUAGCACCCAGUGUCUGCCCCGGUGUGCUUAGUGUCACCCCCAUAAGCGUUGACUUCACUAUCCCCCGUGUCCUGACUCCUAUAAAGAUGUUGAGUAAGCUCUGAGGUUUCCUGCCA
rnacentral:lncRNA from 1 species